AAGUCGUAACAAGGUCUCCGUAGGUGAACCUGCGGAGGGAUCAUUACCGAGUGAGGGCGUCUAACGUCCGACCUCCAACCCUUUGUGAACCAAACCCAGUUGCCUCGGGGGUGACCCGGACGCGCGAGCGUCGGGGCCCCCGGUGGACCAUUCAAAACCUGCAUCUUUGCGUCGGAGUAACUUGAUAAAUCAAUCAAAACUUUCAGCAACGGAUCUCUUGGCUCUCGCAUCGAUGAAGAACGCAGCGAAAUGCGAUAAGUAAUGUGAAUUGCAGAAUUCAGUGAAUCAUCGAAUCUUUGAACGCACCUUGCGCCCUUUGGCUAUUCCGAAGGGCAUGCCUGUUUGAGUAUCAUGAACACCUCAACUCUCAUGGUUCGCCGUGUUGAGUUUGGACCUUGGGGGUCUUGCUGGCCUACGGUCAGCUCCUCUCAAAUAGAUCAGCUUGCCAGUGUUUGGUGGCAUCACAGGUGUGAUAACUAUCUACGCUUGUGGUUUUCUACCAAGUAACCUUCAGUGAUGGAGGUUCGCUGGAGCUCAUAAACGUCUCUCCUCAGUGAAGACAGCUUUUUGAACGUUUGAUCUCAAAUCAGGUAGGACUACCCGCUGAACUUAAGCAUAUCAAUAAGCGGAGGAAAAGAAACUAACAAGGAUUCCCCUAGUAACUGCGAGUGAAGCGGGAAGAGCUCAAAUUUAAAAUCUGGCGUCCUCUGGUCGUCCGAGUUGUAGUCUGGAGAAGUGUUUUCCGUGUUGGACCGUGUAUAAGUCCCUUGGAACAGGGCGUCGUAGAGGGUGAGAAUCCCGUCUUUGACACGGACUACCAAUGCUUUGUGAUGCGCUCUCAAAGAGUCGAGUUGUUUGGGAAUGCAGCUCAAAAUGGGUGGUAAAUUCCAUCUAAAGCUAAAUAUAGGCGAGAGACCGAUAGCGAACAAGUACCGUGAGGGAAAGAUGAAAAGCACUUUGGAAAGAGAGUUAAACAGUACGUGAAAUUGCUGAAAGGGAAACGCUUGAAGUCAGUCACGUCUGCCGGGACUCAGCCUUGCUUCUGCUUGGUGUACUUUCUGGUUUGAUGGGCCAACAUCAAUUUCAACCGUUGGAGAAAGGCUUUGGGAACGUGGCACCUUAGGGUGUGUUAUAGCCCUUUGUUGUAUACGACGGUUGGGAUUGAGGGCUGCAGCACGCCUUCACGGCCGGGGUUCGCCCACGUACGUGCUUAGGAUGUUGGCAUAAUGGCUUUAAGCGACC
rnacentral:rRNA from 1 species